UAAAGAAAGUAGGAAAGGGCAUACGGUGGAUGCCUAGGCUCUUACAGGCGAUGAAGGACGUGAUAAGCUGCGAUAAGCUUCGGGGAGGUGCAAAUAACCCUUGAUCCGGAGAUUUCCGAAUGGGACAACCCA
rnacentral:rRNA from 1 species